rnacentral:tRNA from 1 species
GGACAAGUGGCGAAAUUGGUAGACGCGCAGUGUUCAGAACGCUGUGAGCUUACGCUCGUGAAGGUUCGAUUCCUUUCUUGUCCACCA